GACGAACGCUGGCGGCAGGCCUAACACAUGCAAGUCGAACGAGUGGCGGACGGGUGAGUAAUGUCUGGGAAACUGCCUGAUGGAGGGGGAUAACUACUGGAAACGGUAGCUAAUACCGCAUACCAUCAGAUGUGCCCAUAUGGGAUUAGCUUGGUGGUGGGGUAACGGCUCACCAAGGCGACGAUCCCUAGCUGGUCUGAGAGGAUGCCCAGCCACACUGUAACUGAGACACGGUCCAGACUCCUACGGGAGGCAGCAGGGGGGAAUAUUGCACAAUGGGCGCAAGCCUGAUGCAGCCAUGCCGCGUGUAUGAAGAAGGCCUUCGGGUUGUAAAGUACUUUCAGCGGGGAGGCGUUACCCGCAGAAGAAGCACCGGCUAACUCCGUGCCAGCAGCCGCGGUAAUAC
rnacentral:rRNA from 1 species